CCGAGCACAAGGCAGUGAGCAGGAGCGAGCCCGCUGCUGACAGAAAGACUGAGGGCCGGGCGCCAGGCCGGACGGAGCACAAGGCGGGGGCCAAGCGGAGCCCGGCCCCGGCGGUGGCGGUGGCAGCAGCGCAGGACGCAGAGGAGGGUGAUGAGGGACCUAACACAAUUGUGAUCUGCAUGGUCAUCUUACUGAACAUUGGUCUGGCCAUCCUAUUUGUACAUUUUUUGACAUGAGGUCCCCCUCGGACAAGGCGUUGCUGCUCACUGAGACCAUGGACCUUGGUGGGGAUUUAAUCUCAGUCACCUGGAAACACCUAUGAGAAGGACUUGAGAUCCCAAGGUUGCACUGCAAACACGAACCUUAAGCAAAAGUACCUGAAGAUCCCCUGUCCAGUCUCCCUGCUCCCAGGCUGUGGCUGGCCUCUGCAAUCUACCAAGAAAAGGCCGAAUUUCUACAACUCAACCUCCUUCUCUUCUUUGUAUAAAAUGGCAGUUGCCUUAAAUUAUUCUCACCAAAGCCAUCAACUGCCCUGUCAUGCCAGGGAUGAGGAAUUUAUCUUUAGCUGUAGGAAAGUGAGUGAGAAGGUCUCAUCCACGCACUGUGUUUUGUAAUUGUCUUGGUUGACUUGAUGUUGGAGGUUUCCCAAAGAGUAUCAUCCACGGCCUGAAAACGCAACAAUGUGCAACAACCAAAAUGACUCCUGAG
ensembl:lncRNA